rnacentral:SRP_RNA from 1 species
CAGGAGCGGAAGGCAGCAGCAGAAGCUGCGCC